CUUUUCGAGGUAGGAGUCGACUCCUGUGAGGUAUGUUUUAUCUUUGCGAAUGUUGCGGGUUUUGGGGCGCUCCAGCCUUUGUCUGCUAAGGUCACCCUGAAUUGACUGGGACUUCUAAGCCAGUCGCGCGCCUUUGCAGGGCCUACAAGUUGAGGAUGGUGGGGGAUUGCACAUAUGGUGCAUGCGUGACCUAAGCUGCGACUAUGUUAGAGUAGAACUGCGGAGAAGCCUCGGCUCUCGUGCCCUGCCUCUGAUGAAGCCUGUGUUGGUAGGGACAUCUGAGAGUAAUGAUGAAUGCCAACCGCUCUGAUGGUGGCACAUGCCGAGUCACCCGAGUAAGCUAUUGUUAAGGGCCGUGACCCGAGCCUCCAUCAGCCGUCCGCUCUCAUGAAAGGCUGUCGGUGGUAGUCCACGUGCUUAAGUGCCUGCAUUCCGCAGUGUCACCAAUAUUUCCAUUAGUGUUUCUUUUUUCUUUUUUGAGACCGAGCCUCGUUCUGUCACCCAGGCUGGAAUGCAGUGGCUCGACAUCGGUUAAUGGCAACCUCCGCGUCCCGAGUUAAGCAGUUCUGCCUCAGCCUCCCAAGUAACUGGGACUACAGGCGCGCGCCACCAUGCUAGGCUUUUAUAUUUUUAGUAGAGACGGGGUUUCACCAUGUUGGCGAGACUGGUCUUGAACUCCUGACCUCAGGUGAUCCACCAGCCGUGGUCCCCCAACAUACUGGGAUUACAAGCCGUGAGCCACCGCGCCCGGCCGCCAUCGGUGGUUCUUAACUGCGGGUGCAGUGCUUCUUUGUAACAUUAAGUGUAUCCUUUACCUGUCGCUAGAUAAUGAAUGGUAUGUUACCUGCAUCAUUGGUUUAAAAAGACGAACCGUUUUUUUAAAGAACACUCUUUAAAAAAAAGAACCGUGGAACAAUGAAUUAAAAUCUGUACCUGAUCUCUUUAGGUAUGGUGCUGGGUGCAGAUGCAGUGUGGCUCUGGAUAGCACCUUAUGGACAGUUGUGUCCCCAAGGAAGGAUGAGAAUAGCUACUGAAGUCCUAAAGAGCAAGCCUAACUCAAGCCAUUGGCACACAGGCAUUAGACAGAAAGCUGGAAGUUGAAAUGGUGGAGUCCAACUUGCCUGGACCAGCUUAAUGGUUCUGCUCCUGGUAACGUUUUUAUCCAUGGAUGACUUGCUUGGGUAUGGAGAGUCGGCUUGACUACACUGUGUGGAGCAAGUUUUAAAGAAGCAAAGGACUCAGAAUUCAUGAUUGAAGAAAUGCAGGCAGACCUGUUAUCCUAAACUAGGGUUUUUAAUGACCACAACAAGCAAGCAUGCAGCUUACUGCUUGAAAGGUGAGGAUUGGAAAUGUUGGGACUAUUAUAAUUGCAGAAUACAUGAUGAUCUCAAUCCAACUUGAACUCUCUCACUGAUUACUUGAUGACAAUAAAAUAUCUGAUAUUCUGCAUUCCCAUGUAGCAUUUUAAUUGAAGUCUGUAAAUGUGGCUAAAAGUCUUGUCUUAUUUUUUGAGACAGGGUCUUGCCUCACCCAAGCUAGAGUGCAGUGGCCUUUGAAGCUUACUACAGCCUCAAACUUCUGGGCUCAAGUGAUCCUCAGCCUCCCAGUGGUCUUUGUAGACUGCCUGAUGGAGUCUCAUGGCACAAGAAGAUUAAAACAGUGUCUCCAAUUUUAAUAAAUUUUUGCAAUCC
rnacentral:lncRNA from 10 species